rnacentral:misc_RNA from 1 species
UUAUCGAGGGGGCUUGCCCCCGUCAAGAUACCACCCUUUGCCUUUGAGUACCUUCUGUUUCCUCGGCAGGCUCGCCUGCCAAUGGGGACCACAACCAAACCUUUUUGUAUCUGUAGUAAACGUUUUACAAAAUAAAAAAUCAAAACUUUCAACAACGGAUCUCUUGGUUCUGGCAUCGAUGAAGAACGCAGCGAAAUGCGAUAAGUAGUGUGAAUUGCAGAAUUCAGUGAAUCAUCGAAUCUUUGAACGCACAUUGCGCCCUUUGGUAUUCCUUAGGGCAUGCCUGUUCGAGCGUCAUCUAACCCUUCAAGCACUGCUUGGUGUUGGGCGUUUGUCCCGCCUUGGGCGCGGACUCGCCUCAAAGACAUUGGCGGCCUGUGUAUUGGCUUCGAGCGCAGCAGACUCGCGCGUCGACUCCUCUAGCACUAGGCGUCCAGCAAGCCUAUUAUCUCAAGUUUGACCUCGGAUCAGGUAGGGAUACCCGCUGAACUUAAGCAUAUCAAUAAGCGGAGGAAAAGAAACCAACAGGGAUUGCCCUAGUAACGGCGAGUGAAGCGG